GUUGCGGAUAAAAAGCUCGUAGUUGGAUUUCUGACUAGGGUGGCCGGUACCCACUAUGUGAAGUAUCGGGUUCAGUCUGGGCAUCCUCUUGGGGAUCGUUCCUGUGCUUGAUUGCAUGGGACGGAAUUCAAGACUUUUACUUUGAGGAAAUUAGAGUGUUCGCGGCAAGCUUUCGCUUUGAAUACAUUAGCAUGGAAUAAUGAUAUAGGGCAUAAGUUCUAUUUUGUUGGUUUCUAGAACAUAUGCAAUGAUUAAUAGGGAUAAUUGGGGGCACUCGUAUUAACGCGUCAGAGGUGGAAUUCUUAGAUUGCGUUACGACGAACUACUGCGUAAGCAUUUGCCAAGGAUGUUUUCAUUGAUCAAGAACGAAAGUAUGGGGAUCAAAGACGAUUAGAUACCGUCGUAGUCUAUACCAUAAACUAUGCCAACUAGAGAUUGGAGGUCGUUUUUUUUAUGACUCCUUCACCACCUUAUGAGAAAUCAAAGUUUUUGGGUUCCGGGGGGAGUAUGGUCGCAAGGCUGAAACUUAAAGGAAUUGACGGAAGGGCACCACCAGGAGUGGAGCCUGCGGCUUAAUUUGACUCAACACGGGAAAACUUACCAGGUCCAGACAUAGUAAGGAUUGACAGAUUGAUAGCUCUUUCUUGAUUCGAUGGGUGGUGGUGCAUGGCCGUUCUUAACUGGUGGAGUGAUUUGUCUGGAUAAUUC
rnacentral:rRNA from 1 species